rnacentral:rRNA from 1 species
GAAGAAUUAAAGGUCGAACAGACCUCCAUAUUUAUUUAAAAAUGGCCCCUCAAUUCAACAUCGAGGUCGUAAGUCUUUAAGUAAUAUUAAAUUAUUAUUUAAAAUUACGCUGUUAUCCCUAAAGUAACUCUAAAUCUAUAAAAGAUUAUAUAUUUCAUAAAUAUAUGUUUAAUUUAUUAAAGUUUUUUAAUUACCGCCCCAGCCUAACUAUAUAGAAAUUCUAUUUUCUAUUUUAUAAAUUAAUCCCCAUAGUAAAGUUUUAUAGGGUCUUAUCGUCUUUCUAACUUAGCUAUACUUUUAAAUAUAGAUAUCAAUUUCUAACCCUAAACCUAAAAAGUCAAAAUGUUGUUGACUCUUUCAUCCCAGUUCUCUAUUAUAGAACAAAUGAUUAUGCUACCUUAGCACAGUUAAAAUUCUGCGGCUAUUUACUUCUUUCACUGAGCAGAGUUUACUAAUUUAAAAACUAGAA